rnacentral:rRNA from 1 species
AUGAGUGGCGAACGGGUGAGUAACACGUGGGAAACCUACCUCUUAGCAGGGGAUAACAUUUGGAAACAAAUGCUAAUACCGUAUAAUAAUUAAAACCGCAUGGUUUUAGUUUAAAAGAUGGUCUUGCUAUCACUAAGAGAUGGUCCCGCGGUGUAUUAGUUAGUUGGUGAGGUAAUGGCUCACCAAGACAAUGAUACAUAGCCGAGUUGAGAGACUGACCGGCCACAAUGGGACUGAGACACGGCCCAUACUCCUACGGGAGGCAGCAGUAGGGAAUCUUCCACAAUGGACGAAAGUCUGAUGGAGCAACGCCGCGUGUGUGAUGAAGGGUUUCGGCUCGUAAAACACUGUUGUAAGAGAAGAAUGACAUUGAGAGUAACUGUUCAAUGUGUGACGGUAUCUUACCAGAAAGGAACGGCUAAAUACGUGCCAGCAGCCGCGGUAAUACGUAUGUUCCAAGCGUUAUCCGGAUUUAUUGGGCGUAAAGCGAGCGCAGACGGUUAUUUAAGUCUGAAGUGAAAGCCCUCGGCUCAACCGAGGAAUUGCUUUGGAAACUGGAUAACUUGAGUGCAGUAGAGGAAAGUGGAACUCCAUGUGUAGCGGUGAAAUGCGUAGAUAUAUGGAAGAACACCAGUGGCGAAGGCGGCUUUCUGGACUGUAACUGACGUUGAGGCUCGAAAGUGUGGGUAGCAAACAGGAUUAGAUACCCUGGUAGUCCACACUGUAAACGAUGAGUGCUAGUUGUUCGAGGGUUUCCGCCCUUGAGUGACGAAGCUAACGCAUUAAGCACUCCGCCUGGGGAGUACGACCGCAAGGUUGAAACUCAAAGGAAUUGACGGGGACCCGCACAAGCGGUGGAGCAUGUGGUUUAAUUCGAAGCAACGCGAAGAACCUUACCAGGUCUUGACAUCCUUUGACCACUCCAGAGAUGGAGCUUUCCCUUCGGGGACAAAGUGACAGGUGGUGCAUGGUUGUCGUCAGCUCGUGUCGUGAGAUGUUGGGUUAAGUCCCGCAACGAGCGCAACCCUUUAUUGUUAGUUGCCAGCAUUUAGUUGGGCACUCUAGCAAGACUGCCGGUGACAAACCGGAGGAAGGCGGGGAUGACGUCAAAUCAUCAUGCCCCUUAUGACCUGGGCUACACACGUGCUACAAUGGCAAGUACAACGAGUCGCCAACCCGCGAGGGUGCGCAAAUCUCUUAAAGCUUGUCUCAGUUCGGACUGUAGGCUGCAACUCGCCUACACGAAGUCGGAAUCGCUAGUAAUCGCGGAUCAGCACGCCGCGGUGAAUACGUUCCCGGGUCUUGUACACACCGCCCGUCACACCAUGAGAGUUUGUAACACCCAAAGUCGGUGAGGUAACCUU